GGACGAACGCUGGCGGCGUGCCUAACACAUGCAAGUCGAACGGGGUGUCGAGAGCUUGCUCUUGACACUUAGUGGCGAACGGGUGAGUAACGCGUGAGAAACCUGCCUCUCAGUGGGGGACAACAGUUGGAAACGACUGCUAAUACCGCAUAAUGUAUCCGGAAGGCAUCUUCUGGAUACCAAAGCUUUAUGUGCUGAGAGAUGGUCUCGCGUCUGAUUAGCUAGAUGGCGGGGUAACGGCCCACCAUGGCGACGAUCAGUAGCCGGUCUGAGAGGAUGAACGGCCACAUUGGGACUGAGAUACGGCCCAGACUCCUACGGGAGGCAGCAGUGGGGAAUAUUGGGCAAUGGGGGAAACCCUGACCCAGCAACGCCGCGUGAAGGAAGAAGGCUUUCGGGUUGUAAACUUCUUUUACCAGGGACGAAGAACGUGACGGUACCUGGAGAAAAAGCAACGGCUAACUACGUG
rnacentral:rRNA from 1 species